AGUCAAGUGGGAGCUUCAGCUACCAGCCUAUGUCACAGCCACAGCAACACUGGAUCCGAGCUGCAUCUGUGACCUACACCAAAGCGCAAAGCAAUGACAAAUCCUUAACCCACUGAGUGAGGCCAGGGAUCAAACCCGGGUCUUCAUGGAUACUAGUCAGAUUCAUUUCUGCUGUGCCACAACAGGAACUCCCUAACUUACAUGAUUAUCUUUUUACCUAAAAGAUAAUGUAAACUUCCCACAGGCAAGGAAGAUAAUUACACUUUUCUACAUCCCACAAAGACACUAGUGUAUCAUGCUCGCUACCUCUGAGUCCCUUUGGAAUAAUUAAGAGUAGAAAAUCUUGGUAAAGAAACGAUAUAAUAUGUCUCUAUCCUAGGAAUGUUUCUGUCCCUUGUUCUAGAGUCAGACUCUUUUUUAAAUUUUUGUACUUUAUUCCUAAGGUGAAAUGUUUCACAAGAAGAUACACUUAAAACAUCACUAAUUAUUGGAAAAAUGCAAAUCAAAACUACAGUGAAGUACCAUUGUACCUCAGAAUGGACAUCAUCACUUUUGUGGUGAGAUGGCAUCUGGUUUCUUUCUACAAGGAAAGUUUAGCACACAGCACAGUCCUUGAAACAUUGGAUUGGUUUGAUGAGCCUACCUGGAAUAGGUAUGUAAAACCUCCAGCAUAUGCUUCAUCUCUUUGAGUCAUAUCUGUGGAUGUGUAUCCACUUCUGCUUUUCUUGUUGUUAACUUAGAGUGGAGUUUGUUCUGAAGAGUAAAAUUCAUGUGUCGAAGGUGACUAUGUGUUUACAGUAUGAUCUACAAGACUCCUUCAUUUUCUUUGUAAUGUGAUAAAUACAUAUUAAGAGCAUUCAUUCCAGGAGAGAAGGGAAAUCCCAUGCUCGUAUGGUUCUGAAAAUAAUAAGAUUUAAUCUACAACUUUGUGAAACUCAAGUGUGUAAAAUAUGAUGAUUCCCUGGCAUGUUUAUAAGAACGGCAUCUGUGGCUCAAAAGUCUAACAGGAAGAUAGAAACUUCUUUUUUUUUUUUCCAAAAUUAAUCCAGGCUUAGGAAAAACUGAGUACCAAAUUAUGAAAUGACUGCACAUGGGAAUUAAUUAAUGAUUCUUUGAUCUCUUAGGUUGUAGGAUAAGUACUCCCUUGGUGUAUCAUAUGACAUAAAAAAAUACGGUAUUUGACAGUUUUAUUAAUGAAUUCUCUUGAAGGAAAUAUUCUGAAAUUAGAUUCUCAUAAGAUAUAAGUCAUGUAGCUCCUGAUUUAACUCAGUUCAGACUCUUUGAUGAGUGCUGUGUGUGUGGUUGUGGGUGUGGGGGGGGAUGGGUGUGUUAUCACUAAGGGAUACUUUAUUAUUUGACUCAUUGCUUUGUUGUAUUCAACUUUUGAAAUAUUAUUGGGAAUAUGGUAGGCUCGUUGAAAUUCUGGUAUGUAUUUAGAGAAGUGUCUGAUCUAUAUAAAUUGUAUUUUCAAAAGCAAGACUCUAUGUAACAACUCCCCUGUCCACCCCCUCCCCUCAAAAAUGUCUACUGAAAACCACAUUUGGUAAGUGGCACAGACAGACUUGAGACUUAAUCAGAUAUAAAACCUAGCUUUACUCCUUAA
ensembl:lncRNA